UUCUGGAAAUAUUACAAUUUUAUCCACACAAGGGUUUUUAGAACCUGGCAGAGCAACUGGGAGGUGUGGAGGCAUGGGGACCCCCUCUUCCAUCAUGUGGGGAAAGCAAGAGGCUAUCAGAAUGUCACUGGCCAAUCCAUGUAUCCAUUCAUUCAUUCACUCAUUCACUUAGCAAAAAUUUACUGAGUACCAAGAAUAAGCCAGACACUUUCCUAGGUGCUGAGGAAACAGCAGAGAAAACAGUGUCACCACUCUGAUGUACUGCCUUACUUCCUGGUGGGGGAGACAGGCAGUAAAUUAAGCUAACACAUGUGAAAGAUAAGACUGUUUUAACAAAGGAUGCAUGUUACAAGGAAACUGCAGAGGGCUGGGAAGGACUGGGGCAUCACAGUUGGGCAGAAUGGUCACCCAGGGAAGCCCAAAGCCUAAACCCAGACUCCCCAGGAGGACCCCAGCCUACUUUGACUUCUUUUUGUUCCCCAAAGUGGCUGCUGUGUCAUGAGGGGAGGGAAAAGGGGCGGACCUCUAAUGAUCCUCAGAGCUCUUUGGGAAGGGCUGUGUCCUAGGGGAAGGCUCUUGUCAGGGAGGCUGCCUCGGUGGGGAUGUCCUGGCUGUCAAGCUCUGGGAACCAGGGAGGUAGAAAUGGGAGUCAAGGGGGCGGAGAACCUGGAGAGGGCGUGACUGCAUCCCCGCGGAGCAAAUCUGCCCAGGCCCAGGCAAAAUUCUUCUCUGAGAGUGUGGAAAGGCGGCUGCUCCCUUUGUACUGGUUUGAGAGUUUCUGCUAUGCAAAGAAUUUUCUUUGUGCUUCCUGGAGCUUUAUCCUGCCAAGACUGGGGGAGCGGAGCAACAAUGCGGCUUUGAAGACUCCUAAACCAAACAAAUGGCCAAGCCCUGCUCUGCACCUUCGUUUCUUCUCCUGAUUGGGAUGUCGUAUUGUGGUUACCCUGUACCAUUAACACAGGACCCGGAGAGAAAACCAUGCACCUGCUGAAGGUCCCGAAGGUGCGGAGGUCCCAGGAGACGGUCUCUGUGGGGAGGGGAGAGCGUGUUCACACGUGAGAGGAAGAGUGAAAUGGCCCUCAAGGGGCAGGCAGGCUGCUGUGGCAGGACUCACGGGCUGCUCACCCAGCCUAACCCCUC